GAGGAAUAUUGGUCAAUGGGCGAGAGCCUGAACCAGCCAAGUCGCGUGAAGGAUGACUGUCUUAUGGAUUGUAAACUUCUUUUAUACGGGAAUAACAAGAGUCACGUGUGACUCCCUGCAUGUACCGUAUGAAUAAGCAUCGGCUAACUCCGUGCCAGCAGCCGCGGUAAUACGGAGGAUGCGAGCGUUAUCCGGAUUUAUUGGGUUUAAAGGGUGCGUAGGCGGCCUGUUAAGUCAGCGGUGAAAUCUAGGAGCUUAACUCCUAAAUUGCCAUUGAUACUGGCGGGCUUGAGUGUAGAUGAGGUAGGCGGAAUGCGUGGUGUAGCGGUGGAAUGCAUAGAUAUCACGCAGAACUCCGAUUGCGAAGGCAGCUUACUAAGGUACAACUGACGCUGAAGCACGAAAGCGUGGGUAUCAAACAGGAUUAGAUACCCUGGUAGUCCACGCAGUAAACGAUGAUAACUGGGCGUAUGCGAUAUACAGUAUGCUCCUAAGCGAAAGCGUUAAGUUAUCCACCUGGGGAGUACGCCGGCAACAGUG
rnacentral:rRNA from 1 species